GCCCUGGUGGUGCAGUGGUUAAGCACGUGGCUGCUAACCAAAAGGUCAGUGGUUCAAACCCACCAGUGGCU
rnacentral:tRNA from 1 species